ensembl:misc_RNA 7SK 7SK RNA
GGCUGUUAUGAACAUAGUGGAGCAUGUGUCCCUGUUAUAUGUUGGAGAAUCUUUUGAGUAUAUGCCCAGGGUUGAUUCGGUUGAUCUGGUUGGCUGGGCAUAUGUCCCUUUCCUCCCUUACCACUCCAUAUGCAUCCCUCCCAAAGUUUCACACUCCAUUAAAGUGGACAACCUUCCCCCAGUAGAGGAAAACCAGUCUUCAGUCAAAGUUUAUAUAUAAGUAGCAGUGCUCCUCUGCUAGAACCUCUAAACAAGAUCUCAAGACUAUAUUUGAUCUUAACGGGACUGAACUAUAAAUAAACCCUUAGACCCAUCUUAGCCUCUCAGCUGGGCUUUCUA